GAUCAUGGCUCAGGAUGAACGCUAGCGACAGGCUUAACACAUGCAAGUCGAGGGGCAGCGGGGGUAGCGAUACCCGCCGGCGACCGGCGCACGGGUGAGUAACGCGUAUGCAACUUGCCUAUCAGAGGGGGAUAACCCGGCGAAAGUCGGACUAAGUACCGCAUGAAGCAGGGAUCCCGCAUGGGAAUAUUUGCUAAAGAUUCAUCGCUGAUAAGAUAGGGCAUGCGUUCCAUUAGG
rnacentral:rRNA from 1 species